rnacentral:tRNA from 1 species
UAGCUCAGGUGGUAGAGCAUGAGACUUUUAAUCUCCGGGUCAUGGGUUCAUGCCCCAU